ACAACGCCGCCCUUCAUUGGCCAGCCUCUCGACUCAUCCCGCCCCCGGCGUAUAGAACCCGGCUCCCUAUUGGCCGUGGAGACGUACCCAUGGAAACCGCGCACACCCUCUGAGGAGCGGCAAGGUACCCGGAAAGGAUGUUAAACCAGUUUCUACGAGGGGACGCUAUUAAGAAUUCAGCAUCCUGGUAACUGUAUGUUUUUAAGGGGAUAAAUGGACUGUGCAUCUAUCUGUCUUGACACUGUGUGGGCACCAACAAACGGAAGAUGGUGGCCUGGAAGGCUGUGCUGCCAUCAAGAAGACCUGGACAGGCUGGAGAGCUGGGCCAAGGAGAACCUCGUGAAAUUCAACAAGAGCAAGUGCAAGGUCCUGCCCCUGGGGAGGAACAGCCCCCCGCACCAGUACAGGCUGGGGGGGACCUGCUGGAGAGCGGCUCUGCUGAGAGGGUCCUGGGGGUGCUGGGGGGCAGCGAGGUGACCCUGACCCAGCACCGGGCCCUUGGGGCCAAGGGGGCCAGCGGUGUCCUGGGGUGCAUGGAAAGGAGUGUGGCCAGCAGGGGGAGGGAGGUUCUCCUCCCCCUCUGCUCUGCCCCAGUGA